GUGCCAGCCGCCGCGGUAACACCGGCAGCCCAAGUGAUGGCCGCUAUUAUUGGGCCUAAAGCGUCCGUAGCCGGCCGGGCAGGUCCGUCGGGAAAUCCACUGGCUCAACCAGUGGGCGUCCGGCGGAAACCGCUCGGCUUGGGACCGGGAGACCAGAGGGGUACGUCCGGGGUAGGAGUGAAAUCCCGUAAUCCUGGACGGACCACCGGUGGCGAAAGCGCCUCUGGAGAACGGAUCCGACGGUGAGGGACGAAAGCUAGGGUCUCGAACCGGAUUAGAAACCCCUGUAGUCC
rnacentral:rRNA from 1 species